rnacentral:RNase_P_RNA from 1 species
GAAGUCAGCCAGACAACCGCUCUGCCUUAACAACAGGGAGGAAAGUCCGGGCUCCACAGGGUAGGAUGCCAGGUAACGCCUGGGCGGCGUGAGCCGACGGAAAGUGCCGCAGAAAACAGACCGCCGCCUGAUAGUUUAGGCGGUAAGGGUGAAAAGGUGCGGUAAGAGCGCACCGCGCUAUGAGUAAUCGUAGUGGCAGGGUAAACCCCAUCCGGAGCAAGAUCAAAUAGAGGGCGAUAGUGUGGCCCGCACUGUCCUCGGGUAGAUCGCACGAGGGUCGUGGUGACACGGCUCCUAGAUGAAUGGUUGUCCUCGACAGAACCCGGCUUAUGGCUGACUUCACCU